GGAAGAAUGGUCUAGAGGUAUGAUUCUUGCUUUGGGUGCAAGAGGUCACGGGUAUGAUCCCGUUUCUCCUC